ACAAACUGCCUUCGCUUACUAUUCCUAUCCCGUUUCUACAUUCCACAACGUUUGUUGCGUUCUCACUCAUCAGGGUGUUAGUCAAUUCUCUCUUGCCACACGAAGAGAAUUCUCCUGCAAACUUCGUGUGUUUGAUUCUACCCAUCCCUGUUGAACACACGUCAUUUUCUUCCAUCGCACUCAUCAGGGUGUUUGCUCUUUUCCAUCCAAGCCAAAGAGCGACUUCAGUGUGCUCUGAACCGUGGAUGUGAGAGUGUGUUGCGUGAACUAUUUUUCCUGCGUGAAACACUUUCCAUACUGCGCCAUCCGCGGUGUUCUUUCUGCUUUAUCGGAGGACGAAUUGCUAUCAUCUAAUUGUUUCGUUUGAGAUGUGUGCUGCUACCGCUAGCUGUUCCUCAAACUACUUAAAAAGUGUGACACUGUGUGCACAGGCGUUCAAGUUUCAAUUGAUCCUCAAGCACAAAGCCUUCAUACAACACCGACAACACAUCUUUUCUGAACCAAGCAGGUUGAACACGCGCACCACCAAACGGGCUCCAGUGCGGUGUGAAGAGGGAAGAAGAAAAGACAGAAUUGGAAACAGCCGCGCCAGGCUUCCAACCACCGUGUGUGUGUAUGUAAGUAUGUGAAAACACAUGUGUGAAUUAUCUUGUGGGAACUGCAAAAAGAAGAGAAUAAAGAGUGUGAAGCAGCUAGACUGCCGCAAUCAAG